CCCUCUCUAUAAUGCAAUAAAUACACAUAGGCUAAAACAAUCGAAACCAAAAGAAAACACGACGCCAACAAGAUUAAGAAUUCCGCACAUGGUUUCUUUUCUUCGUUAGCCUUACAUGCACACCACUCAAGAUCUUCUGCCCGUUGUCUUUCUUGUUCUCUGUGAUGAUGUUCUGAUUCAAGACUUCUGUGAUGAAAUUUCUCAACUAGACUCAUGUGGAAUACCUACAAUAAUCAUUAUAUGAGAUAUAAAUGAUUUAAGAAAAUAAUUAAUACAAUCAUUAUAUGAGAUAUAAAUGAUUUAAGAAAAUAAUUAUUGUAUUAGUGAAGAUUAUAACUUUAUUUAUGAGUUUUAUAAAGACUAACUAAGAAUAAAUUCUUCCUCUUAUAUAAUUGUAGGCCUCACGUAAAUCCGAUUCAUGUGAUUGAAACACGAAAAAAUGAAACUAACAACUGUUAGGGUUUUCCCCGAAUAUUCUUAUCAUAUUUGAGUUUUAAUUUUCACUUAAAGUUUGCAGGUCGACUACAAGUGAUAAAUACAGUCUUGUUCUCUAUACAAAGUUUUUAUCCUUCCACAGAGUGUAUUGAAAGAAGUGGACAAAAUCUGUAGAACAUAUCUAUGGGGAGGGUCUGAGGAUAAUAGAAAGGUGGCAUAAGUAUCAUGGGAACAUGUAUGCUUUCCAAAGAGUCUAGGAGGAUUAAGCAUUAAAGGUAGUAGUAACUGAAAUGUUGCCUCUGUGGGACAACUUAUUUGGCAAUUAACAGUCAACAAGGAGUGGUAAAGUGGGUACAUGGCAUAUAUAUAAAAAAGGAUAUCUCUAUUUGGCAACACACAGCCCAGUGGACAGUAGUUGGUAUUGGCGGAAACUAAAUUGAAGAAUGCAGAAUUAAUAUGGACCUCAAUGGCCUUGCCUAGGCAUAGAUUUUUUGUAUGGCUGGUUGUACAUGGCAGCGGCUGCUAACACAAGAGAGGAAAGUGAGGCUCCACAUUCAAGAUGAUGAGACUAAUUGUUGCCUCACAAGUGAUGGAGACUAAUUCUCACUUGUUUGAGCAUUGUAAGAAGUAUGGCUGGAGGUAUCUUUUUACAGUUGUUACAAAAAAAAUAAAAAAUUCAAAGCAUAAAGUUGAAAUAAAGUUUUUGAAUUUAUCGAACUCACCCGAAUGGAUUGAAUGCACCGUUUCGAUUCGCACAGAGUCUUCGGAUUCUUGAUUUUAAUGGUUUGAGCCACUGUUAUUAAAAGCAGUUGAAGUUGAAACAGAGUUGUGGAUUCAGG
rnacentral:lncRNA from 1 species